UUCGUAGGGAGCAAGCGUUGUCCGGAUUUAUUGGGCGUAAAGAGCGUGUAGGCGGCCAGGUAGGUCUGCUGUGAAAACUCGAGGCUUAACCUCGAGAUGUCGGCGGAAACCAUCUGGCUAGAGUCCGGAAGAGGAGAGUGGAAUUCCUGGUGUAGCGGUGAAAUGCGCAGAUAUCAGGAAGAACACCCGUGGCGAAGGCGGCUCUCUGGGACGGUACUGACGCUGAGACGCGAAAGCGUGGGGAGCGAACAGG
rnacentral:rRNA from 1 species